GGUCGAUUGGUCUAGUUGGUCAUGACGUGGGUAAGUUUCUCCACGCCAAACGAAAAAUCUGUUCCGGAGGUUGUCUCUAACGGUUCCACUAUAGGUCUCAUAGAUUGUGCUAUGAUCACCUCGCUGAGGUGAGCGAUCCCAAGGUCACCAGUUCGAUCCUGGUAUCGACCA